UACGUAGGGACCAAGCGUUGUUCGGAUUUACUGGGCGUAAAGGGCGCGUAGGCGGCUUGACAAGUCACUUGUGAAAUCUCCGGGCUUAACUCGGAACGGCCAAGUGAAACUGUCAUGCUAAAGUGCAGAAGGGGCAAUCGGAAUUCUUGGUGUAGCGGUGAAAUGCGUAGAUAUCAAGAGGAACACCUGAGGUGAAGACGGGUUGCUGGGCUGACACUGACGCUGAGGCGCGAAAGCCAGGGGAGCAAACGGG
rnacentral:rRNA from 1 species